AUUAAAAUAGUUAAAAUAUAAUGAGACUUUGAAGAAGUUUAGUUGGGGCACUCUGUCUCCUUUUGAUA
rnacentral:tRNA from 1 species